GAUGAACGCUGGCGGCGUGCCUAAUACAUGCAAGUCGAGCGAACGGACGAGAAGCUUGCUUCUCUGAUGUUAGCGGCGGACGGGUGAGUAACACGUGGAUAACCUACCUAUAAGACUGGGAUAACUUCGGGAAACCGGAGCUAAUACCGGAUAAUAUUUUGAACCGCAUGGUUCAAAAGUGAAAGACGGUCUUGCUGUAACUUAUAGAUGGAUCCGCGCUGCAUUAGCUAGUUGGUAAGGUAACGGCUUACCAAGGCAACGAUGCAUAGCCGACCUGAGAGGGUGAUCGGCCACACUGGAACUGAGACACGGUCCAGACUCCUACGGGAGGCAGCAGUAGGGAAUCUUCCGCAAUGGGCGAAAGCCUGACGGAGCAACGCCGCGUGAGUGAUGAAGGUCUUCGGAGCGUAAAACUCUGUUAUUAGGGAAGAACAUAUGUGUAAGUAACUGUGCACAUCUUGACGGUACCUAAUCAGAAAGCCACGGCUAACUACGUG
rnacentral:rRNA from 1 species